CGUUCCAAGCGCGGGGGCCUGAUACUGGUGGUUUGUCUUCUCACAGCCUCAGGAGUGUUGUGUGUGCACAGGUAACACUAAAGAUCAUGUAGAUUUUCGAACUGGGUGGGUCGCUGCCUAUCUCACCUUUAGGAUCACCUGGGGAACUUGGCAAAAAUAGUUUCCCGUCCUUGCCCUGGAGAUUCUAAUUCAGUGGGCCGGACACAGGAAUCUGCGUUAAAAAAUCUCUACUCUAAUCCUCGUUCCUUUAGGCAGCAAGGAUGGCCCAGAUUUGGAGGACCUGAUUGUUAUUGGGCAUCCGGGGCGGGGCCAGCAGGCUGUGGCUCGGAGUAACUGUGACGUUUCCGGAUCUCCAAGCGGGUAAGGGGAGCAGGCACCUGCCGCCUGCGCUCACGCCCGCGUCUGGUCUCCGAGCCAGCGGGAGUGGCCCGAAAGGAAGCCCCUGCGGGGAGAGUCAUCAUCCCUCCGGGGCCCAGUGAUCACGUAGUUCUCCGGGCCAGCUGAGGGCCCACAGACCCCAGACUCCUGGAGAGGAAUUUGGGGUGGGGUGGGAGGCGGGAGACGGCUGAGCGCAGCUGGAGAAAGGAGGCCAAGAGGUGGCAGCAGCGGCCUGCCAGCUGCCGCAGAGCCUCGGGGCCUCGCGGGGGAACGCCCUCGUCUUGGGAAGCUGAAAGGAGCCACUGGGCGUGAAGACAGACGCCUUCCAGGGGUUAGCUGGUCUGGAAGCUGCGCCAUGGUUUGUUCUCUACACAGGAUUUAUAGGGGAGCAAGACAGUGAGUUAGUGAGUGCCAGGAAAUGACAACAACAACCUUGGAGGCCACAUGAUGAAGAUGGCAGAACUUUGGUUACCCUGGGUGCCCAAUGGUGAAGAGCUCUUCUUGGCUAUUGGGAACAUUUGCCUUGCGCUGCUUUCAGAACUUCUGUCUUAGUUUGCAGUUGACUCAUCCUGAUAUGGCUGCAAGGAAGAGACUUCAUGUGGAGAUUGAAGUAGCACUCUUGACCCCAGCCCACAUGAUGAGUACGUCUGUGCACAUCCUGGACAAGACUUUGGAGCUAAAAGUGCUGACUGGUUGGUUGGAUUGUAAGCCUGGGAGAUCGGAUCUGGUUGCCCUUUCUCCUCUCGCUUCAGUGAGUCACAUACCAGGGUAGGCAGGGGACUCAAUGAGCACCAAGUGAGGUAAAUCCAGUGGAUGGUCUUCUUCUGUGCCUGCUAGGGACUUCGUGAAGAUGAAUCAAGGUUAAAUUAAGUGACAAAACCACAAGAAAUGAGGCCUCACUUCCUCUGGUUUUGAGCUGCAGGGAAACUGACAUGAAAAACAAAAUGAGGAGGUACCGCCAUGAUAGCACUGUAUGGUUUGUGAGGACAUUCGUGGUUCCUGAGUCACAGACCCUUACAAACAGCCCCCCACACUGGAUAUUGUUAUUGUCACUGCUCUGCGGUUGAGGACUCUGGAGCUCAGAGACAUGAGGUGACAUGCCCAAGGUUACCUGGUCAGUAAAUAUCAUAAUUGGAACCUGACUCCAGAUUUCUUUCUCUUAACAACCAUACUCUCAUGCCCACUUGGGAAGUUUUAAAACACUGCUACCUGCGUCCUAUGCCCACAGACUCUGACUUAAGUUAUCUAGAUUGGCCCUGACAUUGUGACUUUUAAAAGUUCAAUAUUCAGCCAAGGUGGAGAAUGAUGGCUCUGUGCUUUCCCCAGUGCAGUGGCUGAGGACUAGCUACUUCCUGACCCAGUGCUUCUCAAACUUUCAUGUGCAUAUGGAACACUGUGAAUAUUGUUUAGCAUCAGAUUCAGAUUCAGGAGGACUGGGAGGGCCUGAGGUUUUGCAUUUCUAAUAAGCUCACAGGUGAUGCUGAUGGUCCCAGAACCACUCUUUGAAUAGUAAGGUAUCUGACCAGCACACCUCCCUAACACCAACUGUACAGGGCUCUGAGUGUCAACCAACCAGUUCCCCACCUGUGCUGUUGGCCAGAUGGACUCCUGGUCCCCUCGUACCUCACCCCCCAACCAAGCUGGUAGAGACUCCGUCAGUUUGUGGGAUUGUACUUUGAGCUACAGUGCUCCUUCCCUUCCACCUCAAGAUCUGUAGCUGUGGGUCUUGGACAGGGCUUCUUUCCUGCAUCUGCUUCUGGUUCGAGGAUCUGGUGCCUCCUAGUCACUCCAUUCAUUGCUAUCAGCUCAUUUCUGAUGUGUGGAAAAGCAGGAGGGAGCCAAUGCUGUGAAGAUCAGAAAGCCUGGUGUUUGGGAUCAGAAGGAUCGAGUCUUGGCUCUGCCACUUUCUGCCUGUGUGACCUUGAGCAAGCUAUUUGCCCUCUGUAAGGGAAUGAAGAUUGUUGCCUGAUAGGUCUAUGAUGAGGUUGCAUGAGAUAAUGUAGGUACAGUGCCCAUAUCUGAGACUGGUAUGUUCAAUUAACAAUAAUUAUAUUAUUAAAGAGGUUGGAGCUAAACAUUUACUGACUGUCCAUUGUGUGCCAUAGCUUGCACUGGGUGAUUUGUAGAUAUCAUUUCGUUUGAGCCUCAGAACAAUCAUGCAAGGUACCCAUUAUUUUCUCUUUUGUACAGAGGAGGUAACUGAAAUUAGAAAGGGUAGUAAAAUACACACCUAGCAAGCUGUAGGACCAGAGCUUGCAAGUCAAUUUGCCUGCCGACAAAGCCUUUUGCAGAUCCUCUUGACAGCUGUGGCUUGUUUGACAGGAGGUGCUCCACAAACACUGGUUGGCUUAGCUGUUUGGGGAGAGGGUGAGCAGCACCCCAGAACUAGGAAGCAGCCUUACUGCUCUCCAUUUGCCCUCAGAGGACAGACUGGUAGAUAGGAGAAGGGGCUAAGAGGUAGAAGAGCCAGGUCAGGAAGUGACUUUGAUGGGCAGACACGAACAAAACAGUGCCUGCCUGGGCCUGCCCUGUAAGCCAGGCAAUGCGGGGGCCAGAGGACCUGUGUGCUUUUAUGUCCUCCUCAGGAAUGAAAAGCAAUUUUCUUUUGGUGCUCUAGAGGGUUGAGAAUGAGCUGGUGGCAACGAGUGAGAGUGCAGUGAAUGGGGAAUGAAUGAGUGAUCUCCUGGAAGAAUGGGGGCACCUUGCAGGCUCCCACCUCAGUCUGCAUGAAAAAAGAGCUUGGUGGGGCCCAUGCUGGCUACUUUCCCCUCCUACCAGAUCCCAUUGUCAUUGAUCUGUCACCAGUCUCUGCCUUUGCCACAUGUGGCACCAGGUUGUUGAUGUAAAAUGUAAAUUGCACCUCUAGUAUACCAGCUUGAUAGCAGGGAGCAUGCCGUUGAGCCUGGAAGUGACUUGAGGGGGUGGCAGCUCAGAGUCCCAAAUGACAAAACUGGUGGUGAGUGUGAGGCUUGCUUGUUCUGUGCAAAGGACUCUUGCCCAUUCCAGGCAGGGUGAGGAAGCCCUAGAGGGAGGCCUGGAGACUGAGACCAGAGACUAUAAAUGUGACUGGGCCAGAGUGAGACUGGUUCCUUGGGCCAUUGUGCCCUCCAGCCAGGCAAGUGACCCAGCAUGCUCCCCAGUGCAGGUAGGGGCAGCAUUGUCAGGCCCUGCUCUACCUGUUCCUAUCUCUUGGCACAGGCACUGAGAUGCAUCCACUUUAUAAGGGAGGAUGCAGAGCUAAGAGAAACUCAGUCAGGGUCCCCUGGCUCCCACGUGGGGUGUUGGCCGGCUUGAUUUUGCUCCAUGCCACCUGACUUUGUGCUCUUCUACCUUCAAAGCUCACAUUGAUGAAAAUUUUGCAGAUUUUAUGUAAUUACAGGAAAAAGAAACCCAUGAUGUCUGCUUCAUUAUUUAUAUAGCUGGUUUCAUAUAUUUUUGGUAGUAUUGUUAUAUUUUCACUAGUUACUAAAAUUCUUUUUCUCUGAGACUGGGGAGUAGGGACUUGGCAGAACAAGGGUCCCCUUAUUUCAUUCUUAUAAUUGCUAAAUUGAGAUCCUUUAAUUCACUUAAAGUUUUAUUUAUUUUAAACUUUCACUUUGAAUUAAUUUCCAACUUAAGGGGUACAACAAUAGUACAAAGAAUUCUCAUACAGCCUUCACCAGAUUCCCCCAAAUGUUAACAUCUUAUAUAACCUAGAAUAAAAUAACCACAAUCAGGGAAUUAGCAUUGACAUAGUAGUAUUAUCUAAUAUGUAGGCUUAAUUCAGAUUUUGCAAGUUUUCCCGUUACUGCCCCCUUCCAAGUCCAGGAUCCGAUGUAGGACCAACUGUUGCAUUUAAUUGUCUUGUCUCCUUAGUCUCCUUUCACCUGGAACAGCUCAGUUUUCAUCUGUCUGUCAAGACCUUUUUACUCUUGAAAAACACCAGCCAUUUAUCUUCUACAAUGGUCUUAAUUUGGUUUAUGUGAUGUUUCCUUCUGAUUUAAGUCCAGGUUAUGCAAUUUUUUUAAUACUCACCCAGGACAUUUUUUUUCAUUGCUUUUAGAGAGAGAGGAAGGAAAAGAGAGAAAC